rnacentral:snRNA from 1 species
AUUCGGUGGGCGGAACAUAUACUAAAAUUGGAACGAUACAGAGAAGAUUAGCCUGGUCCCUGCGCAAAGACGAGCAUAUAGUACCACAACUUUAAUUUU